rnacentral:rRNA from 1 species
CCUACGGGAGGCAGCAGUGAGGAAUAUUGGUCAAUGGGCGAAAGCCUGAACCAGCCAAGUCGCGUGCGGGAUGACGGCCCUACGGGUUGUAAACCUCUUUUGUCGGGGAGUAACGAGCCUCACGUGUGGCGCUUUGAGUGUACCCGAAGAAUAAGCACCGGCUAAUUCCGUGCCAGCAGCCGCGGUAAUACGGAAGGUCCGGGCGUUAUCCGGAUUUAUUGGGUUUAAAGGGUGCGGAGGCCGAAGGUCAAGUCAGCGGGCCAAUUUCCGGGCUCAACCCCGGACUUGCAGGGGGAACUGGCGUGCUUGAGUGCGCGGAAAGCAGGCGGAAUGCGUGGUGUAGCGGUGAAAUGCUUAGAUAUGACGAAGAACCCCGAUUGCGAAGGCAGCAUGCUGGAGCGGAACUGACGCUGAUGCUCGAAAGCGCGGGUAUCGAACAGGAUUAGAUACCCGAGUAGUC